rnacentral:tRNA from 1 species
UCCGGUGUAGCUCAAUGGCAGAGCGCCCGCCUGUUAAGCGGAGGGUUGGAGGUUCGAGUCCUCCCGCCGGAGCCG